GCAAGACCCUGUUUCACUCUAUUUGGAGCAGAAUUCAAGUCUCCAAACUUUUAGUAAAAACGUGAGAAGGAGAUUAUCACAUGGAGGCAAAGAUCUCCCAUAGGGUCCAAAGGAUAGAAAUAUCAGAGUCAGAGGCCUUUGAUGGUGGGUCCAGUCAUGAAAACUGAGUAUCAAAAUACUAGGUGGACAUUUGAAGAACAUU
rnacentral:lncRNA from 10 species